GUUAACCCAAAAAAAACCAGGGCGGGGAAAUUGGUCCCCGAGCGUUUCCUCCUCACGUUCGCCCCCGCCGCUCUAGGGUUGUGCUCUUCUCUGGCGUCGGCGCGUCGCCCUCGGCCCGAUCUCCGGUCGCCGUCCUCCACCGCGUCGGCGGCGGCGCCGCGGCGUGGCGCCACCUGCUGCUCCUCCUCACUGCCCAACUGCUCGCGCUCGCCCUCCUCGCGUUCGCGCUCCAGUGCCGCGGCGGCAUGGACGACGCCGGCUCCCCUCGCCUGGCCGUGCCGGCCCCGUCGAGGCUGCAGUCCCUCCACUCCUCCGCCGCCUCCUGCGUCGAGGUGCUCGCCGCCCCCGCCGCCCCGCCUUCCCCUACCUCCGCGGCUGGUCCUUCCACUUCGACGCGCCGGACACACACCACCCCAAAGAGGGGAUGGAGAGCUUUACAAAUGGGAAUGUUAGGUUAUUGAAGCAUGAACGCAGCAUUGUUGCAGAGGAUGAUCUUGACUGUCGGUGGCAGGAAGCCACUGGAGAGGCUGUUUCCGAGGUCUCCAACCGCCCUGCACUCACUGUCCAUCCAAUCGGUGUGCCACAUCUGAGGGAGGAUGAGACCCCCCCCCCCCCCCCCCCCCCCUCAAGGUGGGAGGCCUGGAUGGGCAGCGGUGCCAAACCCUCGAAUUGGCCCAUGGUUCCGUUUGAUGCAAAAGGUUGCUGCAGACCAAGGUCUUGUUCCAGAGUUUGAGGUGUGCGUGCAAACGAGCACCUCCGCAGGCCUGGACCGGAUCCUGCCGUGGCUCUUCUACCACAAGGUCAUCGGCGACUUUUUGCUCUUCGUCGAGGGCAAGGCCGCCAAGCCCAGCGUCGUCGGGGUCCUCGAGUCCAUCCCCGGGUAUGAAGGUGGUGUACAUGACCAAGGAGCUUGAGGAGUAGCAGGCCAGCCGAAUCUGGAACGAAACCUGGCUCGCAGGAUUCUUCUACAAGCCUUGCAACCGCAAACUAUUUUUGAAGCAAGCACUCAACAUGGAGAUGGCCAUUGUGAUGGCCCGGGAAUCUGGCAUGGAUUGGAUAAUGCAUCUAGACACCAAUGAGUUGUUAUAUCCCGGUAGUAUUCCAUCAGAUGCCUGUUAGCUGACGUCCCCGAUGAUGUUGACAUGGUUAUUUUUCCUAACUAUGAAAGCAGCGCCGAGCGUGAUGAUAUAGAAGAUCCAUUCAGUGAAGCUGGGUGAGAAGCAGACAAGGGUCACGGUGAACUAUUGCUAGCUUGAGGAGAUGCUCACAUGAAGACAUGGUUGCCGAAGUUUCUACCGUUUCAAGUUGUUUGUUUAUGAGCCAAGACUGAAGAUAUACAAGCUAAUGUUGCCUCUGCUACCAUGUGGCAACGCAACCAUGAAGGGCUUGACGUGUUGGCUGUCAAGAAGCACUAGGUCGACGGCAGGCAAGGCAUCCAGGAAGCCACAGCACGAGAGAGCGAUGACGCUCAAAGGGUGAGGUUGCCAAAUGGUGCGGUGACACUAGCUCGCUAGCCAAGCAGACUACAUUCUGGACUAUUUACACAUCAUGGACUAAAAUUGGACUUCUUUCUGGACUCACAUCUUUUAUAUAAUAUAUACUCAAGUCUGAUAUGCCUUUUAUUUAUUCUAUAAUUAAGUACAAUCUUUUAAGUUGCUGCUGAAGGAAGAAGACAUGGGGUCAGAAAAAUGUUAAGAUUGACUUGAUGUGUGGUAAGGAACAUCCAGUUGAAAAGCUUUUGAUGCUUGAACAUCCACUACUCAAUUAUUCUUUUAGGUAUGCAUAAUCUGCCAAGUUAUAAGCAGUUCCUUUUAUUUGGGCACGCAUAAUGACCGUUCCGCAGCAUCAGGUUCAAAAAAAGUUCUUCAAGGUUAGUAAUUUUCUCCAAAAAAAGUUCUUCAAGGUUAGUAAUUAACUCCCUUCCCAUAUGGAUAUGCAUGAUGGUUGUUCAUUUUUUGGGAUAGCUUACCCAUCUUAUGCCUUGAAAACUGAGCUACCUCCAUGAUUAUGCAUCUGGUCUCAGUAGAUUAUUUUUCCGCCAAAAUACAGUUGUGAAGAGGAGUUCCUGAUUAUAGCUGAAUAUACCAGCCUACUUGCCUACAACCAAGGCAGAAUUAUCAGCAUGUAUGCGAAACAGCCUGCUAGCUGGGUGUGUGCCCCCUGUUUGAGCGAGAGGGAGGACCUUUGCUGGGCAGUCAAAGGAUGUGCUCGGAUAUGGUGGUCCAACUGCAAGAAAAAACGUCAGUCUCAUCCCUGGCCUUCUUCAGUUGAGGAGAUUACUCUACUUUUUAUCACUGUUGGAGGAUUCCUUAUUUUGAGAAGUCAGUAUCACAGCAACGGGCACGCAGCUUGGCCAACUCAUUAUUUCUACCGGCACCAAUUGUUUUUAUUGUUUCUAGCCAAUGUAGAUUGUGGUGAUUGUAUGAAAGAUUUAAUACCUUCCUCACGUGCAUGCUAGCUAGGAAUGUUUGUGGAUGGACGUGAAAUGAACUGUUAAGUACUCUCCUAUUUAGUUUCACCAGGAAUUUAUUGAUAUGGUAAGAAUUAUUAGAUUGGUUUGUGACGAAAUGUUGCUUGAAAAUAAAUUCACGAUAGGUUAGAGUGGGGGCAAAAAUAGUUACAGUGCUCUUGUAGGACGAUGGAUUUUCUCCAUGUAGUCUUGUAGCCUUCAUGGAAGUCAAAUUUUGUAGGUUUGUUUGUACAUUUUUGCUUUGUUUCGGAAACCAGAGUAGUUCACUUUAUCCAUGUGUUUUUUCUUGCUUCUCUGCACUGUACCCUUUGGGAUGAUCAAUAUGCAUUACUCUUUCUCAAAGUUUCUAUUUGGAACUAUAUUUUUUAUUAAACCACUGUCAGAAGGUUUCACAAGAAACCUAAAAACUGUAACAGGUGGUCAUUAUUUUUUUUGCCAUAUGUAAUGAAUGUUUGCCACAAGUUAGGAAACAUAACUGGUUUUUAGUCGUUUAUCAGUUUGUUUUGCUCAUGGGGAUAUAUAAUUAGCUUUACCAGUUUUUUGAUUAUACAAGUUUUUCUCUUCUUUCUCCACAUGUGUGUUUCUACAAUAUGUGUACAUUCAAGCGCCAGAAGGUUUGUUCUCCCACUGUGUGCCACUAAUAUUUCAUUUUUGUGGGUGAGAUUUUUUAACUUCUGGAUGCGCAAUGGUUUGGAUAUGGUGUUGUGCAAUGCUACUGUGUUAUGCUAUGACCAUGAACAUGCUUAUGUGAUGUGGUGCAUCUCUUUUUAUACUUCAACAUUGUUGUUCCCGCUUGCG